UACGGAGGGUGCAAGCGUUGUUCGGAAUUAUUGGGCGUAAAGCGCGUGCAGGCGGUCGGAUAAGUCAGAUGUGAAAGCCUUCCGCUUAACGGAAGAAGUGCAUUUGAGACUGUUCGGCUAGAGUACGGGAGAGGAGAGUGGAAUUCCCGGUGUAGAGGUGAAAUUCGUAGAUAUCGGGAGGAACACCAGUGGCGAAGGCGGCUCUCUGGUCCGAUACUGACGCUGAGACGCGAAAGCGUGGGGAGCAAACAGG
rnacentral:rRNA from 1 species